AACGAACGCUGGCGGCACGCCUCAUACAUGCAAGUCGAACGCGAAAGUCCUUCGGGAUGAGUAGAGUGGCGGACGGGUGAGUAACGCGUAGGAAUCUAUCCUGUAGUGGGGGAUAACGUUUCGAAAGGAACGCUAAUACCGCAUACGCCCCAAGGGGGAAAGCGGGGGAUCUUCGGACCUCGUGCUAUAGGAGGAGCCUGCGUCGGAUUAGCUAGUUGGUGAGGUAAAGGCUCACCAAGGCGACGAUCCGUAGCUGGUCUGAGAGGAUGAUCAGCCACACCGGAACUGAGACACGGUCCGGACUCCUACGGGAGGCAGCAGUGGGGAAUAUUGCGCAAUGGGCGAAAGCCUGACGCAGCCAUACCGCGUGUGUGAAGAAGGCCUUCGGGUUGUAAAGCACUUUCAGUGGGGAGGAAAAGCUGGUGGCUAAUAUCCAUCGGCCGUGACGCUACCCACAGAAGAAGCACCGGCUAAUUCCGUG
rnacentral:rRNA from 1 species